rnacentral:misc_RNA from 1 species
GCUUUGAUGAUUGAAUAUGGAACUUACUAGUAUUCUACAUUUCUUAUUCCUAAUUUAAUUUGAUUUCCUAACUCGGUAUUUUGAAGAUGAUACAUAUGAAUUCCAUAAAUUGUAUAAGAAAGAGCUUAACUUGAUGAGCUAUGAAAAUAGAAGUUUAGAGGUGAGACUUGGACAGAAGAAUGAUAAAUGUUCUGUAUAUGACUGAUAAGUGAUAUGAAUCGCAACAUUUUUGUAAUUAAAUUAACAGGAAAAAUAUUUACUCUUAUUCUUUUCCAAUUGUGCCGACCCCAAAUUUUUGGGAUA